rnacentral:lncRNA from 1 species
CCAAUCCUUAUCCAGCAAGGAUUUCUUGCUUCUUACUAUGGCUAUGACAAUUCUAGUCACUACUACUCCACCCACAGCUUUGGCUGAGACCUUCAUCGUUGGUGGUAAUCAGGGAUGGAGAAAUGGGGUCGACUACGAGGCAUGGGCUCGUGACAAGGUGUUUCGUGUCGGCGACAAACUGGUUAGUCGUGCUAUUAUUGUGAAUUCAGUCACUUUACUCAAUGCUACAUGGAAUGUUCAUGUGGGUUUACAUCUUUGGAUUAGAUAAAGUAUGAGCGUAACUGCAUAAUUAUGCAAUUAAUUUAGAUUAAUAUGAAUAUUAGAUGUGCAUAACGGUCACUAAAUUCUUAUAUCUAUUCAAAAUGAUCCUUAUUCGAGUAAGAAUUGGUCACUCAACGAUAUUUUCUUUUACACAAAUGUCAUCUCUCAUCUUUAGGACUAAUUCCUUCACCAGUUAAAGAAGAUCAGUGUCAACUUCUCGAAACAUAGUUUAAGUCAUCCAACCGGUUCGCAACGGAGAAAAAAAAUCUCAUACUUAUGCUGUGUUUAUGUGCAAAAUGGUCCCUCGACUUCAUAACAUACUCACAAUGGUCCUUAUUUAAGUACACAUUGGUCAUUCAACUUCAUAACAUACUCACAAUGGUCCUCAUCUAUGUACACAUUAGUCACUCAACUAUACAUUUUCUGACAAAACGGUCACUUCUCCAUCGUCUUAAACACGCAGUUUUCAAGUACCAGAAGUGCUUCCACAGCGUGGUGAGGGUAAUACUCGAGGAGCAGUUCCAGAAGUGCACCGUCCCCGCGGGAGCCAACCAGCUAACGUCCGGAUCCGACAUCGUUCCCCUCACGACCGAGGGAAGGAA